rnacentral:tRNA from 1 species
GCGCGAGUGGUGGAAUUGGUAGACUCGCUAGAUUCAGGUUCUAGUGACCAAUACGGUCGUGUGCGUUCAAGUCGCAUCUCGCGCACCA